GGGCCCGCACAAGCGGUGGAGCAUGUGGUUUAAUUCGAUGCAACGCGAAAAACCUUACCAGGCCUUGACAUCCAGAGAACUUACCAGAGAUGGUUCGGUGCCUUCGGGAACUCUGUGACAGGUGUUGCAUGGCUGUCGUCAGCUCGUGUCGUGAGAUGUUGGGUUAAGUCCCGUAACGAGCGCAACCCUUAUCCUUACUUGCCAGCACAUAAUGGUGGGAACUUUAAGGAGACUGCCGGUGACAAACCGGAGGAAGGAGAGGAUGAUGUCAAGUCAUCAUGGCCCUUACGGCCUGGGCUACACACGUGCUACAAUGGGAAGUACAAAGGGUCGCAAUACCGCGAGGUGGAGCAAAUCCCAGAAAGUAUGUCGUAGUCCGGAUUGGAGUCUGCAACUCGACUCAUGAAGUCGGAAUC
rnacentral:rRNA from 1 species